rnacentral:rRNA from 1 species
GGACUACCAGGGUUUCUAAUCCUGUUUGAUCCCCACGCUUUCGUGCCUAAGCGUCAAUAAUGAGCCAGAUGACCGCCUUCGCCACUGGUGUUCCUCCUGAUAUCUACGCAUUCCACCGCUACACCAGGAAUUCCAUCAUCCUCUCUCACAUUCAAGACCUGCCGUAUCAAGGGCACCUCCUCGGUUAAGCCGAGGUAUUUAACCCCUGACGCACAGACCCGCCUGCGCACCCUUUAUACCCAGUAAAUCCGGACAACGCUUGGGUCCUACGUAUUACCGCGGCUGCUGGCAC